AUGGGACGGGAGGCCUAUCUGACCUUUUGUUUGAUUCCAUUUUCCAACCCUUUCUUUAGAACCAACCUGGAAUGCAAACAAGGAAGGAAAGGGCUGAAAUAUCCAUAUCUGAUCCAGCAAAAAAAACCUGACCUUAGCAGUGAUAGAGAUAGCAUAGCUGUAGACAGGGGGAGGGCCCGAAUUACCUUUUCUAUUAGAAUAAGGAAGGGAAUCGCUUUGAUUGCUUGCGACAGCUUAUCGAUGCUCGUUAGCGGUGAAGUCCCUCAAACCAGAAGUUUCAAAAGCGGGCCUACGAGAUAA
rnacentral:lncRNA from 1 species